GACACUGAUUGUUCUCUCUCUCUCUAACGUUCUCACUCUGUCUCUCUCUCUCUCUCUCUCUCUCUCUUGGUCUCACACUGUUAUGAAUCUCUCAAUCUCAUUCUCUUUCUCCUUCAUGUUGUUCUCAAUCUCUCAAUCCUAAUUCUUUCAAACUCGAUUGAAGGGUUUGGAUCGACGGAUCACCCUUGCAAUUUCUAGGGUUUUCUAGUUCGAUUACAUCACCAAUGGGCGAAUUGAAGAUGGAAGAGAUGUCUCUCCCUGCUCUGUUCGAUCAGGCUCGAAAGAUGCAUCUAUCAGUUGUUGAAUCUGACAUUGAUCAAGUAAUCCCUCUGCAUAUGAAUGUAUUGAUGUAAAUAUUAGUGUAUGAAUCUCUGAUUAGAUUGCUUGUUUAUGGAGCAUUUUGGUAAUGUUUUUUUUUUUUUAAAACCAUUUUGCAAUGAAGUGACUAUGUGCUUUGUAUUUGUAGAUUAAUGGUUUUUUUUAUUGAAAAAAAUGCUACAACCUUUUGUCAAUGUAUUUUUAUUUUAUUUUUAUCUACUAUAUAUUAAAAUAUUCUUCUCAUUUUCCCUAAUCUAUUUGAAUAACAGAAAAAUAUUUAGAUUCUUUUGCUUUAUGUUCUUUUCCCUUUUCUUCACAAGAUAGGUUCUCACCAAACUGGAUUUGAGAAAAUUGAUAUGAUACCUAUCAAGGCCAAGCAAAAUCCUAGAGAAAGCAAUCGUUGCUGCUCUAAAUCUGCAAUUUAAAGCAUUAAUUUGCUAAACUACAACAAACAAUAUGCUUAUAUAACAAAGAAGUGGGGAGAGCAUCUAAUCACAAAAAUCACUUACAAUGUCAACAUAAUGGACUGGCUAUGGAAUCAUACAAGGCAAUUCAAUAUUUUCAUUGAUAUAUAUAUAUAUAUAUAUUGCUAUGGAAUCUCUUGCUAUGGCAGUUGUGACUUCAAGAUGAGUAACACAAUUUGUGGACAAGCCUGGUAAUCAUUAAGUGAACUCUUCACAUUGUUUAGAUAUUGUUGAGUGCUCGCAAUUGGUGCAUUUGAUGCUUGCUAUUGUCAAUAUCUUUGUGCAGUAUGACAUGUUCUAAAUGUUGUAUGCCACGUAUUUAUAUUAAGAAAUAUGAAUAUUUUUCCAUCCAUGUAUUGAGCCUUUGGUGACUAAUAUUUUAGUAGCCAAAAGUGUAUUUUCUUGUAGUGCCCCUUAUGUCUCACGUGUUUCGUACUUGCUAUUAAGUUAGUGUACUUGCUUUAAUUUAAUGUGUAUACAAAAGAAUUAGAAGGUGUUUAAAGAAGAUGUGAUGUUGUUCAUGAAAGAAUUCCACAGUUUGGGUAAAUUGACUUAUGGUUUGAACAACUCAUUCAUCACUUUAAUUCCGAAAAAGGUCAAGGCAGUCAAUCUUAAGGACUAUAAACUGAUAAGCUUGAUUGGUUCGAUGUACAAGAUUUUGUCAAAGGUUCUGACCAGUAGACUCAAGCUAGUUAUGCCAGAAGUUAUAGGUGAAACCCAACCAGCUUUUUUGAGUGGAAGAAAUAUCUUGAAUGGGGUUUUGAUCGCAAACGAAAUUGUGGAUGGGUGGAAGAAAGCUAAGAAGAAGGGGGUGUUGCUCAAACUCAAUUUUGAAAAAGCUUAUGAUUCCAUCAACUGGGGUUAUUUGCUUUCCAUGCUACCAAAUUUUGGCUUUGGCUCUAAAUGGAUUAAUUGGAUGAAGGAGUGUAUUUCAACUGCUAGAAUUUCUGUUCUUGUGAAUAGGUCACCAACCAAAGAGUUUAGCCCUCAAAAAGAACUAAGACAAGGUGAUCCAUUAUCACCCUUUCUGUUCAAUUUGGCUGUAGAAGGGCUUAGUAUUCUACUGCUCAGAGCAAGGGACUUGGGUCUGAUUAAAGGGGUGUAGAUUGGAGUUAAUGGGGUGGUUGUUUCACACCUUCAAUUUGCUGACGACUCUUUACUUUUCUGUGAAGCGGAUAUGGAGGAGGUAAUGAAUCUUAAAAGAAUUUUAAGAUGCUUUGAAAUGAUUUCGAGUCUUAAGAUCAAUUUCCACAAGAGUGUGGUUUGUGGGGUUGGAACUUCAAUCAAUUCUCUUAAGGAUUUCGCUUCUGUGCUUAACUGUAAACCUCAGAACCUGCCACUGAAAUUUCUGGGUUUACCUCUGGGUUCUUCUCCAAGUAGGAAGAAAUUUUGGCAACCUGUUUUAGAUAAGAUAAAAAGGCAAACUUGCUGGGUGGAAAAGGAGACUCUUAUCAUAUGCUGGAAGGUUGACUCUCAUCAAAUCAGUACUGUCCAGUUUGCCAAUGUAUUACCUCUUCCUCUUCAGGUUGCCAGAAGAAGUAGCCAAGGAGAUAGAUAAAAUUCAAGCAGCCUUCUUAUGGGGAGGCACAGAAUUGAAAAGAAAAAUUCACAUAGUGCGGUGGAAGGAGGUUACCAAGAGCAUUAACCAGGGUGGGUUGGGUAUCAGGAGAAUUAGAGAGGUAAGUUCUUGCUUAUUAUUGAAGUGGUGGUGGAGAUUUGCAAAUGAAGAUCAAGCAUUAUGGAAAAAGGUGAUUUGUCAUAAGUAUAAAAUUGAAGUUGGAGCUUGGCUUCCAAAUCAAAUUGGUGGUAUUAGAUGGUCAAAGUUAUGGGGUUAUAUCAUUGCAGUGGCAGAGCAUAGUAUCAAUCUAUUCCAAUUUUUGCCAAGAAUUUUCAAAUUAAAGUGGGUGAUGGGAAUAGAGUGAGAUUUUGGCAUGAUUUGUGGUGUGGUGGUAUUUGUUUUAAAGAGGCUUUCCCUAGACUAUUUUCACUCUCUACAGAGAAGAAUGGUUCUUUAAAGUUUUUUGUUGACAAAAAAGGAACCUCUGGGGCUUGGGAUCUUUGUCUAAGAAGGUCUUUGAGGCAAUGGGAGGUUGAGGAGGUAUCCAGGCUCACUGUCAUGUUAAGAGCAGCUCCUAUGUUAAGUUUGGGGGUUAAAGAUAAUCCAAGGUGGUUGGAUUGUAAACCAGGUCAAUCCUUUGUUGCUUCUCUUUACAGGAAUUGUGAAAUGGGUUUUGGUGUAGCUGCAAGUACUUGUAGACUGGUGUGGAUUAAUUAUAUCCCACCCAAAGUUCAAUUUUUUGGUUAGCUAGCUUGGAAACACAAGAUCAAAACUUCUGCUUUUCCUUCAAAGGGUUGGAGUGCUGGGUGAGGAAGCCUCAACUGAGUGUAUUUUCUGCAAAUCAGAGGUAGAGUCUGCUUCACAUGUCCUCAUUUCUUGUCCUCUGGAAGGUGUGGUCUGGUUUAGUGCAAUGGUGGGGUUUGGUUUGGGUUGUACUUGGCUCUGUUGAAGGCUUGUUGCACUGGUGGGAUGGCACCUGUCUCAUGAAAGCUGAAAGGAGAAUUUGGCUUGCUAUCCCUCUGGUUGCAAUGUGCUCAAUUUGGAAACAUCGGAAUGAUUGCUUGUUCAAUUGUGUUCAACCGGAUAUGGAGGAGCUUAAGGAGUCUAUUAUUAUCAGGCUAGCUAUUUGGAAGCCUCUUCUAAGGAUUGCCCAUUCUCCAUUAAUGAUUUUCUUUAUAAUAUUAGCCAGAUUUGAGUUUGUUUAGGUGGUCGGGGUUGAGUGUAUUUGAAGCAGCAGCAAUGCUUUGGCUUAUAUUCUACUAUCUUUUGGUGUGUAGCAGCAGCAUAUGUGGAUUGGUCUCUGUGUUGGGGAAUCUGUGCAGGGGUUCUGAGUUGUUGAAUUGCUGCAGUUUGAUCUGAGUUGUUGAGUUGUUGGGGAAUCUGGCUGUGUGGUGUUUCAACUCUGUUUCAGACCUGGAGGUGCCUCUGCUUCAUUGCUGCUGUUUGGUCGCUCUAUUACAUUCCUGCAGUUGGAUCUUCUUUCCUACUGUCUGCUAGUUUUUGUUGGUUGUUUUGAUUGGUAGCUCACCAAUCUUGUCUAGCUUUGUUGCUAUUGUUUUCCCGCAUUGUUGAUGUUUCUUGUAAGUCCUUGUUGGUUUUUAUCAUCAAUAAAGCUCUUUUCUGCCGUUCAAAAAAAAAAAAA